rnacentral:tRNA from 1 species
ACCCGGGUGGCUCAGUCGGUUGAGCGCCCAACUUCGACUCGGGUCAUGAUCUUGCGGUCCGUGGGUUCAAGCCCCGCAUCAGGCU